rnacentral:rRNA from 1 species
UACAGAGGUCUCAAGCGGUUUGUUCGGGAUUCAUUAGGGCGUAAGGUGCGUAGGCUGGCGCGGUAACGUGCGGGUGUGAAAUCGUCGGGGCUUAACUCCGAAACUGCAUUCGGAUACGUGCGGUGCUUGAGGACUGGAGAGGAGACUGGAAAUUAUCGGUGUAGCAGUGAAAUGCGUAGAGAUCAUGAGGAAGACCAGUGGCGAAGGCGGGUCUCUGGACAGUUC